CAGUAGCCACGGUAAUACGUAGGUGGCGAGCGUUGUCCGGAAUCAUUGGGCGUAAAGGGAGCGCAGGCGGGCAUGUAAGUCUUUCUUAAAAGUUCGGGGCUCAACCCCGUGAUGGGAAAGAAACUACAUGUCUUGAGUACAGGAGAGGAAAGCGGAAUUCCCAGUGUAGCGGUGAAAUGCGUAGAUAUUGGGAGGAACACCAGUGGCGAAGGCGGCUUUCUGGACUGCAACUGACGCUGAGGCGCGAAAGCCAGGGGAGCGAACGGGAUUAGAUACCCCCGUAGUCCCUGUCUCUUAUACC
rnacentral:rRNA from 1 species